GUGUCAGCCGCCGCGGUAAUACGUAGGGGGCUAGCGUUGUCCGGAUUUAUUGGGCGUAAAGAGCGUGUAGGCGGCCGGGUAAGUCCGGUGUGAAAACUCGAGGCUUAACCUCGAGAUGUCAUCGGAAACUAUUCGGCUAGAGUCCGGAAGAGGAGAGUGGAAUUCCUGGUGUAGCGGUGAAAUGCGCAGAUAUCAGGAAGAACACCUAUGGCGAAGGCAGCUCUCUGGGACGGUACUGACGCUGAGACGCGAAAGCGUGGGGAGCGAACAGGAUUAGAUACCCCCGUAGUCC
rnacentral:rRNA from 1 species